UCUCCGUAGGUGAACCAGCGGAGGGAUCAUUACUGUGUAACAAACCUGCGAGGACUGUCGCUAACCCAAAAGGUCGUGCACGCUCGAGUGCCCUCCCACACCUCCCUCUCACCCCUAUGCGCACCACCGCGUGGCUCCCCCUUUGGCUUGUUAGGAGGGGGGCUUACGUUUUAACACAAUCUUAGAAUGCAGUGUUGACUACAUUUUUUGUUUUUGCUAUCACACAAUCGAAACACCUAUCAACAACGGACCGCUUGGCUCUCACAUCUAGUCAGACCC
rnacentral:misc_RNA from 1 species